rnacentral:rRNA from 1 species
AUUGAACGCUGGCGGAAUGCUUUACACAUGCAAGUCGAACGGCAGCACGGACUUCGGUCUGGUGGCGAGUGGCGAACGGGUGAGUAAUGUAUCGGAACGUGCCCAGUCGUGGGGGAUAACGUAGUGAAAAUUACGCUAAUACCGCAUACGAUCUAUGGAUGAAAGCGGGGGACCGUAAGGCCUCGCGCGAUUGGAGCGGCCGAUAUCAGAUUAGGUAGUUGGUGGGGUAAAGGCUCACCAAGCCGACGAUCUGUAGCUGGUCUGAGAGGACGACCAGCCACCCUGGAACUGAGACACGGUCCAGACUCCUACGGGAGGCAGCAGUGGGGAAUUUUGAACAAUGGGCGCAAGCCUGAUCCAGCCAUUCCGCGUGCAGGAUGAAGGCCCUCGGGUUGUAAACUGCUUUUGUACGGAACGAAAAGGUCCUGGUUAAUACCUGGGGCUCAUGACGGUACCGUAAGAAUAAGCACCGGCUAACUACGUGCCAGCCGCCGCCGUAA